UAUCGUGUGGCACCGAGUGAACCGCUUUCCACGACUUAUAAACAAUUACAUUUUAAUUAUAUAAACAACAGGAUCUAAGAGUAUUUCAGACGGCAGCUUGGGGCUUGCCAUGGCGCAGGGGAUGGAGACCAGCUUCAAGAGGUGGAAAUGGUUAAAUGGUCAACCGGGUCCUACAGACCCCUACAACAACUAAUACGGACCCAUCUGUGGUGACAUAACUGCGUUAAUUCACCUGUUACCAUCCAAAUAAAUACAAAUGCAAG